rnacentral:rRNA from 1 species
GAUGAACGCUGGCGGCGUGCCUAAUACAUGCAAGUCGAGCGAAUGGAUUAAGAGCUUGCUCUUAUGAAGUUAGCGGCGGACGGGUGAGUAACACGUGGGUAACCUGCCCAUAAGACUGGGAUAACUCCGGGAAACCGGGGCUAAUACCGGAUAACAUUUUGAACCGCAUGGUUAGAAAUUGAAAGGCGGCUUCGGCUUUCACUUAUGGAUGGACCCGCGUCGCAUUAGCUAGUUGGUGAGGUAACGGCUCACCAAGGCAACGAUGCGUAGCCGACCUGAGAGGGUGAUCGGCCACACUGGGACUGAGACACGGCCCAGACUCCUACGGGAGGCAGCAGUAGGGAAUCUUCCGCAAUGGACGAAAGUCUGACGGAACAACGCCGCGUGAGUGAUGAAGGCUUUCGGGUCGUAAAACUCUGUUGUUAGGGAAGAACAAGUGCUAGUUGAAUAAGCUGGCACCUUGACGGUACCUAACCAGAAAGCCACGGCUAACUACGUGCCAGCCGCCGCCGUAA